rnacentral:rRNA from 1 species
CCUACGGGUGGCAGCAGUGGGGAAUAUUGGACAAUGGGCGAAAGCCUGAUCCAGCCAUGCCGCGUGUGUGAAGAAGGCCUUCGGGUUAUAAAGCACUUUCAGUGGGGAAGAAAGCCUUGGGGCUAAUACCCUCGAGGAAGGACAUCACCCACAGAAGAAGCACCGGCUAACUCCGUGCCAGCAGCCGCGGUAAUACGGAGGGUGCGAGCGUUAAUCGGAAUUACUGGGCGUAAAGCGCGCGUAGGCGGUCUGAUAAGCCGGUUGUGAAAGCCCCGGGCUCAACCUGGGAACGGCAUCCGGAACUGUCAGGCUAGAGUGCAGGAGAGGAAGGUAGAAUUCCCGGUGUAGCGGUGAAAUGCGUAGAGAUCGGGAGGAAUACCAGUGGCGAAGGCGGCCUUCUGGACUGACACUGACGCUGAGGUGCGAAAGCGUGGGUAGCAAACAGGAUUAGAUACCCCAGUAGUC